rnacentral:rRNA from 1 species
UACGGGGGGAGCAAGCGUUGUUCGGAUUUACUGGGCGUAAAGGGCGCGUAGGCGGUCAGCACAAGUCAGUUGUGAAAUCUCCGGGCUUAACUCGGAAAGGUCAACUGAUACUGUGCGACUAGAGUGCGGAAGGGGCAACUGGAAUUCUCGGUGUAGCGGUGAAAUGCGUAGAUAUCGAGAGGAACACCUGCGGCGAAGGCGGGUCUCUGGGCAGUAACUGACGCUGAGGAGCGAAAGCGUGGGGAGCGAACAGG